ACGAACGCUGGCGGCGUGCUUAACACAUGCAAGUCGAACGGAGAUUCAGCAAUGGAUCUUAGUGGCGAACGGGUGAGUAACGCGUAGGCAAUCUGCCUUCUAGAUGGGGACAACAUCCCGAAAGGGGUGCUAAUACCGAAUGUUGUAACGACUUCGCAUGAAGUUGCUACUAAAGGUGGCCUCUGAAUAUGCUACCGCUAGAAGAUGAGCCUGCGUCUGAUUAGCUAGUUGGAGGGGUAACGGCCCACCAAGGCUUCGAUCAGUAGCCGGUCUGAGAGGAUGAACGGCCACACUGGGACUGAGACACGGCCCAGACUCCUACGGGAGGCAGCAGUGGGGAAUCUUCCGCAAUGGACGAAAGUCUGACGGAGCAACGCCGCGUGAGUGAAAGAAGGUUUUCGGAUCGUAAAGCUCUUUCGUUAGGGACGAACGUGCUCUUUGUGAAUAAUGAGGAGUAAUGACGGUACCUAAAUAAGAAGCCACGGCUAACUACGUGCCAGCAGCUGC
rnacentral:rRNA from 1 species